rnacentral:rRNA from 1 species
UCCAGACUCCUACGGGAGGCAGCAGUGGGGAAUAUUGCACAAUGGGGGGAACCCUGAUGCAGCGACGCCGCGUGGGUGAGGAAGUACUUCGGUAUGUAAAGCCCUCUCAGCAGGGAAGAAAAUGACGGUACCUGACUAAGAAGCCCCGGCUAACUACGUGCCAGCAGCCGCGGUAAUACGUAGGGGGCAAGCGUUAUCCGGAUUUACUGGGUGUAAAGGGAGCGUAGACGGCGUGCCAAGUCUGAUGUGAAAGGCCGGGGCUCAACCCCGGGACUGCAUUGGAAACUGGCAGUCUCGAGUUGGAGAGAAGUAUGCGGAAUGCGCGGUGUAGCGGUGAAAUGCAUAGAUAUCACGCAGAACUCCGAUUGCGAAGGCAGCAUACCGGCGCUCAACUGACGCUGAGGCACGAAAGCGUGGGGAUCGAACAGGAUUAGAUACCCCUGUA